UAGGGAAUCUUCGGCAAUGGGGGGAACCCUGACCGAGCAACGCCGCGUGAGUGAAGAAGGUUUUCGGAUCGUAAAGCUCUGUUGUUAAGGAAGAACGAGUGUGAGAAUGGAAAGUUCAUACUGUGACGGUACUUAACCAGAAAGGGACGGCUAACUACGUGCCAGCAGCCGCGGUAAUACGUAGGUCCCGAGCGUUGUCCGGAUUUAUUGGGCGUAAAGCGAGCGCAGGCGGUUAGAUAAGUCUGAAGUUAAAGGCAGUGGCUCAACCAUUGUAGGCUUUGGAAACUGUUUAACUUGAGUGCAGAAGGGGAGAGUGGAAUUCCAUGUGUAGCGGUGAAAUGCGUAGAUAUAUGGAGGAUCACCGGUGGCGAAAGCGGCUCUCUGGUCUGUAACUGACGCUGAGGCUCGAAAGCGUGGGGAGCGAACAGG
rnacentral:rRNA from 1 species